GAUGAACGCUGGCGGCGUGCCUAACACAUGCAAGUCGAGCGAAGCAAUUUGACGGAAGUUUUCGGAUGGAAGACAGAUUGACUGAGCGGCGGACGGGUGAGUAACGCGUGGGUAACCUGCCUCAUACAGGGGGAUAACAGUUAGAAAUGACUGCUAAUACCGCAUAAGCGCACAGCAUCGCAUGGUGCAGUGUGAAAAACUCCGGUGGUAUGAGAUGGACCCGCGUCUGAUUAGCUGGUUGGUGGGGUAACGGCCCACCAAGGCGACGAUCAGUAGCCGACCUGAGAGGGUGAUCGGCCACAUUGGGACUGAGACACGGCCCAAACUCCUACGGGAGGCAGCAGUGGGGAAUAUUGCACAAUGGGGGAAACCCUGAUGCAGCAACGCCGCGUGAGUGAAGAAGUAUUUCGGUAUGUAAAGCUCUAUCAGCAGGGAAGAAAAUGACGGUACCUGACUAAGAAGCCCCGGCUAACUACGUGCCAGCAGCCGCGGUAAUACGUAGGGGGCAAGCGUUAUCCGGAUUUACUGGGUGUAAAGGGAGCGUAGACGGCGCUGCAAGUCUGAAGUGAAAGCCCGGGGCUCAACCCCGGGACUGCUUUGGAAACUGUAAUGCUAGAGUGCUGGAGAGGUAAGUGGAAUUCCUAGUGUAGCGGUGAAAUGCGUAGAUAUUAGGAGGAACACCAGUGGCGAAGGCGGCUUACUGGACAGUAACUGACGUUGAGGCUCGAAAGCGUGGGGAGCAAACAGGAUUAGAUACCCUGGUAGUCCACGCGGUAAACGAUGAAUGCUAGGUGUUGGGGAGCAAAGCUUUUCGGUGCCGUCGCAAACGCAAUAAAGCAUUCCACCUGGGGAGUACGUUCGCAAGAAUGAAACUCAAAGGAAAUGACGGGGACCCGCACAAGCGGUGGAGCAUGUGGUUUAAUUCGAAGCAACGCGAAGAACCUUACCAAGUCUUGACAUCCUUCUGACCGGCGCGUAACGGCGCCUUCUCUUCGGAGCAGGAGUGACAGGUGGUGCAUGGUUGUCGUCAGCUCGUGUCGUGAGAUGUUGGGUUAAGUCCCGCAACGAGCGCAACCCUUAUCCUUAGUAGCCAGCAGUAAGAUGGGCACUCUAGGGAGACUGCCAGGGAUAACCUGGAGGAAGGUGGGGAUGACGUCAAAUCAUCAUGCCCCUUAUGAUUUGGGCUACACACGUGCUACAAUGGCGUAAACAAAGGGAAGCGAAGCCGCGAGGUGAAGCAAAUCCCAAAAAUAACGUCCCAGUUCGGAUUGUAGGCUGCAACUCGCCUGCAUGAAGCUGGAAUCGCUAGUAAUCGCGAAUCAGAAUGUCGCGGUGAAUAAAAUCCCGGGUCUUGUACA
rnacentral:rRNA from 1 species